rnacentral:lncRNA from 1 species
GCAAAAUGUGCUCCUUGAGGUUCAGGUGAUGACUGACAGGUGCAGACCUCUGCAUGGAGGGCCGUUCCCUGCUCCUGGGCUGCGUGUUGCGACCUAGGCCCGUGCACAGGAGACCCUGAAGAAGCUGCACCCGAGCGCAAUGAAGACGAGGGUAAGCGCGCCAUGUGGACGCCUUUGCAUCAGGAUGCCAGGAAUUCGCCCACUCUCGGUGGAGGCCACAAGGCCGGCCUCGCUAGGCCCCCUCUCUGCUGCCCAACCCUCGCCUGCCUUCCUUCGAGGGGGCUACCGAAUCUCCCGCGCCAGGGUGGACACCUCCACUCCCCCUUGCCCCCGGGGACGCACCGAGCGCCUGCACCCUCCUCGGCUCGCCCCCUCCCGGCCUUUGUGUGGUGCGGGACCCCGGCCCGCCGCCCCUGUGAACCGCCUGCCCCGCGCGGAGGCGGGGGCACUUUUCAAUGCCUCGCCGCAGCUCCCUCCAGAUUUGUAAUCCGCCAAAAAGCCGCUGAUUGCUGCAAUCGUUACUUUUCAUUAAAAAAACUUAGAAGCAAUUUGGGAGAACUCUUCUCAAUGAAUACAUUUACCCCCGAACGGUCUUUAUUCUCCGCCUCCACUUGAUGAGUUUCUGUGGCACGAAUCCGUUCUUACAGGCACAGAAUGGGCAAUCCCUUGAUCCCCGUCAAUUGUCAUCCCGAGUCGGGGCCACUUUGACCGCCAAUAGCGGGGAAGUCAGAGCUAAUCCUCAGAAG